CUGGGCCGCACGCGCGCUACACUGAUGUAUUCAACGAGUAUAUAGCCUUGGCCGACAGGCCCGGGUAAUCUUGGGAAAUUUCAUCGUGAUGGGGAUAGAUCAUUGCAAUUGUUGGUCUUCAACGAGGAAUGCUUCGUAAGCGCGAGUCAUCAGCUCGCGUUGACUACGUCCCUGCCCUUUGUACACACCGCCCGUCGCUCCUACCGAUUGAAUGGUCCGGUGAAGUGUUCGGAUCGC
rnacentral:ncRNA from 1 species